UUUCAUGUCGUAAUCUAACUACAGUAGGCAUCUUAUGUUCUUAUUACCCUGAUUGAAUGUGUGAUGUGAACCAACUUGAAGAAAUCAGCAUUGAAUUCCAUUAGCAUUUGCUGCCAAGUAGGAAGAAAGUGUAAACUGCAAUGUUAUAGUUGGCAGUCUAAAAUUUGAAUUUCUGGAUUUUUCAGGAUGUUAACUGUAUUAGCUGUUCUGUUUUUCUCCCACUGUUAUUUAAUUGAAACCCUAGACUAAGAAGCAUCAUAUUGUAACUGAUCACAAUGUGUGUUUUAUAGUACACUGACUUAGUUUUCUAAAUGUAAGUGAAUUAAUCAGUUGAAUUUUUCAUUCAUUUUGGAUAGGCUUAACAAAUAGAGCAUUCUGUAUGAAUGGAGAUUAGAGUUAAUCUUCCCAAUCACAUAAUUUGUUUUGUGUGAAAAAGGAAUGAACUGUUUCACACUGAUGGAAAGAUGGAAAUGAUUUUUAGAUGUUUGUGUUUUAGGAUUUUGUCCAUUUUCUUUUAAAUUAUACACAUGUACUUGGGUGGAUGAUUUUUUUUUAAUGAUUUUGCCAUUGUUAAAAGGGUAUUUAAUGAUUGACUACCUUUUAGCCUACAUGUACUGACAUAAAAAGACAUGAGAGGUAUAUUAAGUGUAAAAUCAAAUGGCAAAACACUAUGUGUAGAAUGAGCCAAGUGAAGGUGUGUCUAUUUU
rnacentral:lncRNA from 1 species